UAAGAUGAUCUUGAGUUUUCUGUCGUAUUUAUUCACUUCCACACUAUUAACCUUGAAUUAUCAUCAUCUGUACGAAACUUCCACAAUAUUUGCAUUACUAGUACCCAUAUCACUGAAAAAUGAAUAUUAAAAUACUUCUCGUGUUCCUUGCAAUCAUCUGCACUUCUAAUUUCGUCACAUCGCAUUACUGGCGACCGAACGGACAGGUCAUCCGACUAUGUGGAACUUCUACGACGACCGGAGUCUGUAAAAAUGGCUGUGGUUCGGGUGAGGUCGUUAUUAACUCACCGUACUGCGGAUACUGGUUGACCUGUUGUGGAACCGCACUUACCACAACCACGCCUCGUACAACUACAAGCUCCACCACCACGACCGAUGAUGGUAUCAUCAUUUCCUAAAAUUUGAACUUUCUCUGAUUUUUAGGCUCAAAUUAAAUUACAAAUUUUGGCAAAAUUACUUAUAUGACUUUACUGAAUUGUAAUGUUUUGCCAUAAAUAAAUCUUCCAGUCUCUUAAUCAUAACCGCAAA